UACGUAGGCAGCGAGCGUUGUUCGGAGUUACUGGGCGUAAAGGGUGUGUAGGCGGUUUUCUAAGUUUGGUGUGAAAUCUCCCGGCUCAACCGGGAGGGUGCGCCGAAAACUGGGAGACUAGAGUGCGGGAUGGGAGAGUAGAAUUCCUGGUGUAGCGGUGAAAUGCGCAGAUAUCAGGAAGAACACCCGUGGCGAAAGCGGCUCUCUGGAACGGUACUGACGCUGAGACGCGAAAGCGUGGGGAGCGAACAGG
rnacentral:rRNA from 1 species